GUCACGCACCUACGAAAGCCUCCGCCGGCUCCAACAGCAGGAGCGAGAGAGCGGACAGGACAGCGCUGAGGCCGCGCAUGGUGCCGGCACAGGCCCGGUCGGCAGCCUCGGGCCCUCGCCUGACGUGCAGCUAGCUGCGGAUGAAAUGUCUCCAUCAUGGUCAUCGUGAAGGUUCCCAAAGUUCACGUGACGGAAUGAAGUUAGCAAUUUUUUCUGUGCAGAAGGUAUUGGUGCAAUAUACUGCUCACCCACAAAUGUGUCAUUAUGAGAAGUCUCAAGAAAAAGCAAAAGCAUGUUAUUUGACCAACUAAUCGGCUGAAUAUAAAUAUGUAGAUCUUUGCAGGUGUCCAAUUCCUAGCCUUUUCCUCGCCAACGUGCGCUCACUGGUAAACAAAAUGGACAAACUCCGGCUAAGGAUCACCUCCCACAACUGGAUCAAAAACUGCAACAUCCUGAUCUUCACGGAAACUUGGCUCAACACCGACGUUCCUGACAGCGCCAUCCAGCUAACGGGGCGUCAUUUACUCCAAGCGGACAGGACAUCAGACUCCGGUAAGACCAGAGGUGGGGGUCUGUGCAUUUAUGUAAAUAAAGCAUGGUACACGGACUCCACCUUCAUCGAGAGUCACUGCUCAGCUAACCUUGAGUUCCUCUUGGUUAGAUGCAGACCGUUCUAUCUGCCCAGAGAGUUCACCUCCACUGUUGUGACUGCAGCCUAUAUCCCUCCUGAUGCUAAUGCCAAGCUUGCAAUGAAAGAGCUGCAUACUUCCAUUAGCAAUCAACAGACGCACAACCCUGAGGCAGCCUUCAUUGUUGCGGGUGACUUCAAUCACUCUAACCUGAAGACUGUAUUCCCCAAAUUCCACCAACAUGUCUCCUUCCCCACUAGAGUAGACAAGACACUGGACAAAGGCUGAAGACAACAUGGCUGAAGCUUACAAAGCCAUCCCCCGCCCCCACCUUGGUCAGUCUGAUCACGUCUCAUUGUUCCUGCACCCUAAGUACUCCCCACUCAUCAGACGGGUUAAACCAACUGUGAGGACAGUUAAAGUCUGGUCAGAGGAAGCGGACUUCACACUUCAGCAGUGUUUUGGAAACACUGACUGGAAGGCGUUUGCAACCCAGGCCACCCUUGACUCCCACACGGACAUUGAUUCCUACACAUCCUCUAUUCUGGACUUUAUAAACUCCACCAUCAAUAGUGUCACCUCCCUCAAACAGGUGACCAUAUUCCCGAAUCAGAAGCCAUGGAUGAACAGCGAGGUCAGGCUACUGCUGAAAGCAUGGGACACCGCUUUCAGGUCAGGCGAUGCUCGAGCCUACAGCUCAUCCAGGGCAAACCCGAAGAGGGGCAUCAGGAAGGCCAAGCACUGCCAUAAGCUCAGGAUUGAGGAGCACUUCAAUAACAACUCCGACCCCCGACGCAUGUGGCAAGGCAUCCAGGCUAUCACGGACUAUAGACCCUCCAACACCACCCCCACAUCCAGUGACGCCUCCUUCCUUGAGGAGCUUAAUCACUUCUAUGGCCGCUAAGACAGGGACAAUCUAGAGACAGCCAUCAAGGCUGUGCUCCCUGCCGAUCACCAACCCCUCACACUCACCCCCUAUGACGUAUACGUGGCACUGAGUAGGACUAAUGCACGUAGGUCUGCUGGCCCUGACGGCAUCCCCGAGCGCGUGCUCAGGGCCUGUGCUGCGCAGCUGACAGACGUCUGGACUGACAUCUUCAACCUGUCACUUGCCCAAGCAGUUAUCCCCAUGUGCCUUAAAACCACCUCCAUCGUGCCAGUGCCAAAACACUCCACUGCGGCAAGCCUCAACGACUUCCGCCCAGUUGAAUUUACCCCAUCAUCACCAAGUCCUACGAGAGGAUGUUCCUGGUACACCUCAAAAGCUGCCUACCCCCCACACUGGAUCCCUAUCAGUUUGCCUAACGCAAGAACAGGAGUACAGAGGAUGCCAUCUCAACGGCACUUCACUCCGCCCUCUCCCACCUCGACAACAGAGACACUUACGUAAGAAUGCUGUUCAUCAAUUACAGCUCAGCAUUCAACACCAUUAUACCAUCUAAACUGAUCACCAAACUCGGUAACCUGGGCAUCGGUCCUUCCCUCUGCAACUGGAUACUGGACUUUCUAACCAACAGACCACAGUCUGUUAGGUUAGACAAGCACACUUCUUCAUCCCUCACCCUGAACACUGGCGUUCCACAGGGCUGUGUGCUGAGCCCCCUCCUCUACUCCCUCUUCACCUAUGACCUGUACAUGGUACUAACACCAUCAUCAAGUAUGCAGAUGAUACAACGGUGAUUGGCCUCAUCAGCAACAACGACGAGUCGGCCAACGGGGAGGAGGUCCAGAACUUAGCAGCAUGGUGCGCUGACAACAACCUGGCCCUUAACUCCAAGAAGACCAAGGAGCUCAUUGUAGACUUCAGGAAGUCCAGGGGCGGCACGCACACCCCCAUCCAGAUUAACGGGACGGAGGUGGAACAUGUUUCUAGCUUCAGGUUCCUGGGAGUUAACAUCGCCGAUGACCUCUCUUGGACCCGCAAUACCUCAACUCUGAUCAAGAAGGCUCACCAGCGUCUCUUCUUCCUGAGGAGACUGAAGAAGGUCCAUCUGUCUCCUCAGAUCCUGGUGAACUUCUACCGCUGCAUCAUCGAGAGCAUCCUUGCCAACUAUAUCACAGUAUGGUAUGGCAACUGCUCUGUCUCCGACCGGAAGGCCUUGCAGAGGGUGGUGAAAAUUGCCCAACACAUCACCGGUUCCUCGCUCCCCUCCAUUGAGUCUGUCCAAAGCAAGCGUUGUCUGCUCCAGCAGGUCCAGGAACAGCUUCUUCCCGGCGGCUGUCACUCUACUCAACAACGUACCUCGGUGACUGCCAAUCCCCCCCCCCCCCCCCCCGGACACUCCUCCCACAGGAAAAAUACUAUGUCUGUAUAUAUGCUAAUGUAAAUAUUUAUUCAAAUCAUAUGCUAUGUCGCUCUUCCAGGGAGAUGAUAAAUGCAUUUUGUUGUCUCUGUACUAUACACUGACAAUGACAAUUAAAGUUGAAUCUGAAUCUGAAUCGGAUGAGACAAAACAUCCCGAAGGCCUAGUCAUUGUAGCCAGCGACUUCAAUCAAGCCAACCUCAGGGGUGUACUACUAAAGUACUAUUAGCAUGUCUCUUCCACCAGGGCCAGAACAUCUUUAACCACAGCUACACAUCAAUAAGAGAAAUUUACCGCUCUGUUCGGCGGCCACAUUUCAUGAAAUCUUAUCACCUGGCCGUGCUUCCACUCCCUGCCUACAAACAAAAACCAAAAGAGGAGGAUCCGGUGCAGUGAGUUGUUCAAUGCUUGUCGGCGGACACAGAUGACAUCCUAGGCAACUGCUUUGAGUCAGUAGACUAUUCCAUCUUCAGGGAUUCUGCAGACAACCUGAAUUAGUAUACCACUACCAUGAUGGACUUCAUCUGCAAGUGUGUAGAGGAGUGUGUGCCGACAAAGACAAUCUGAGUGUUCCCCAACUGGAAACCAUGGACGAGCCAUGAGAUGCAUUCACAGUUGAAGCCAGGUCCAUUGCUGACAAGUCAAGCAAUCCUGAGCAGUACAAGAAAGCUCGAUAUAAUUUUCACUAAGUCAUCAAGGAUGUCAAGAGACAAUACCAGGACAAACUUGAGUCCCAAUAUAAUAAUUCAGAUACCUGCAGAAUGUGGCAAGGUCAGAAUACCGAAACUAGCUACAGAGUUGCAUCAGGCAACAACACUGGUGAUACUGCGGCCCCACCUGAUGAACAUAAUGUUUUCUAUGCUCCCUUUGAGCAGAAGGUCAACAGGGUGAUGAGUGAUGACAUCUAUCCAAUCAGACUCAACUAUGCCUCUUCCCAUGGUCAAUGUUGUUGAAGUUAGCUUGGCCUUCCUGAGGGUGAAAGCAACUGGCUGUAUCCUUAGAAACUGCGUGGUCCAUAUUUGGGAGUAUUCUUGGAUUUCUUUCAUCUCUCCCUACUGCGUUCCCACCUGCUUCAGGAAGACCACUAUCAUCCCAAUGACAAAGAAAAGCAAGAUCUCAUGCCUUAAUGACCACCGUACAG